rnacentral:rRNA from 1 species
UACGUAGGCAGCGAGCGUUGUUCGGAGUUACUGGGCGUAAAGGGCGCGUAGGCGGCCAGCACAAGUCAGUUGUGAAAUCUCCGGGCUUAACUCGGAAAGGUCAACUGAUACUGUGCGGCUAGAGUGCAGAAGGGGCAACUGGAAUUCUCGGUGUAGCGGUGAAAUGCGUAGAUAUCGAGAGGAACACCGGUGGCGAAGGCGGAUCUCUGGGCCUUGCCUGACGCUGAGGCGCGAAAGCUAGGGGAGCGAACAGG